rnacentral:rRNA from 1 species
GACAGAGGGUGCAAACGUUGUUCGGAAUUACUGGGCGUAAAGCGAGUGUAGGCGGUCUGAUAAGUCGGAUGUGAAAGCCCCGGGCUCAACCCGGGAAGUGCACUCGAUACUGUCAGGCUAGAGUAUCGGAGAGGUUGGUGGAAUUCUCGGUGUAGAGGUGAAAUUCGUAGAUAUCGAGAGGAACACCGGUGGCGAAGGCGGCCAACUGGACGAAUACUGACGCUGAGACUCGAAAGCGUGGGGAGCAAACAGG